GAGAAUAUCAGUCUAUUUUUAAGUUUAAGCGCGUUUGGUGGCGUUCCCCGGUGUUUUAUCAAGGGUGUGGGUUAGAUCAGCGUGGUUUUUGGUGCCUGAUUAAUUAAGCGUGUGACGCCGCGCCUCAGAAAAGAACGGCCCGGCCGCGUCACUCGGCCAAACUGUGAGCGCGCCCGUCUGCCGGUCAGACAGACAGACAUUGUUCUACUCCAGGAAUCAGACUUUGCCAGCUCCAGCCGGCCAGGCGCGGCCGAGCCGCCCCGUGACGGAAUCAUUAGUCCUUUGAGUUGAAGAAUUGCUUUGUGCCGGUCCAGUAACGAGUCCAGUCAGGGGCAAGGUGUGUUGCACGGGGGCACCUCACUCGCCUCUCCUCUCCUCUCACUUGUCAAGGAAUCAAAAAUUGAUUGUUCACCAGUCACAUUACUGCUCAGAUUUGAGAAUUUGAAGUAAACGUUUGAUUGUUCACCAGUCAAAUACGUAAACUGAGAGUCUGCCACGCGAGGCGGCGCGGCGGCACCACUAACGUCACCAGUCCUGCACCGCGGCAGA